GACCCAGGCUCCUCCCAUCUUUGGAGCUCUGUCAUUUUCAGGGAAUUUCCUUGUCCAUGUGGACCAUGAGGACGUCACAUCAUGACCUCCUUUCAAGUAGCAGGAUGGAGGAGGCAAGAGGAAAAGGGCCAUUUACUAAUUGUGAAUCUUGUUCACUUGCGGAACUGUGCCUACAGCCAGUGCAGCACAUAGCCAGUAAUGCUUUGCUGAUGGAAUGAAUGAAUGAAUGAAUGAGUGGAACAAACUCCAUGGUGACUGCUACAUGCUUUACAUGUGCUACGUGCUUUACAAGUGUUUCACUUGUUCUUACCACACUGCUGUGAUGUGGAGAUGGGGAGCUGAGACUCGGCCAAGACAGGAGAAUUGCUUGAACCUGGGAGACGAAGGUUGCAGUGAGCCGAGAUCACACCACUGCACUCCAGCCUGGACAAGAGCGAGACUCCCUCUCAAAAAAAUAAAAAUAAAAAUAAAUCACACAUUGCAUCUAGUUGUUGUUGCUCCCAUUCUGUGAUUUUUGUGCUGGAUGUUCAAGGUAUUGAGCCUGUGAUAGGAAUUGCUUGAGCAACAUCACAGAGGACCGUGAAGGGAGGGGACAUGGUGGUGUCUGUUCUCUCUGUAGCAGCAGCAGUGAGGGGUUGUUGUGAAUGUUCUGCAGAGAGGGAUGUCUCUCCCAGGCUGCCACAGUACCCUGCUCCAGCCACACUGAAUUAAGCACCA
rnacentral:lncRNA from 1 species